UACAGAGGGUGCGAGCGUUAAUCGGAAUUACUGGGCGUAAAGCGCGCGCAGGCGGUUUUGUAAGUCUGACGUGAAAUCCCCGGGCUCAACCUGGGAAUUGCGUUGGAGACUGCAAGGCUGGAGUCUGGCAGAGGGGGGUAGAAUUCCACGUGUAGCAGUGAAAUGCGUAGAGAUGUGGAGGAACACCGAUGGCGAAGGCAGCCCCCUGGGUCAAGACUGACGCUCAUGCACGAAAGCGUGGGGAGCAAACAGG
rnacentral:rRNA from 1 species